rnacentral:pre_miRNA from 15 species
UUUCCAUCGAAUAUAAUACAAAUUUCCCGUAGGACGGGAAGGUGUCAAGGUUUUGAAUUAAAUUAAACAUUGCACUUGUCCCGGCCUAUGGGCGGUUUGUCAAACACAUCGAUACAUAU